GUCGUAACAAGGUAGCCGUAGGGGAACCUGCGGUUGGAUCACCUCCUUACCUAAAGAUACGCAUUGUGCAGUGUCCACACAGAUUGUCUGAUAGAAAGUAACGAGCAGAAAUACCUUAAUAGGCUUGUAGCUCAGGUGGUUAGAGCGCACCCCUGAUAAGGGUGAGGUCGGUGGUUCAAGUCCACUCAGGCCUACCAAUUCGUCCUCAUGCUGCGUUGUCGUCACACUCGUUUGCGGUUGCAAACGUCGUAUGAACUCCGCCUUGCCUGAGAACAAAUUGGCUAACUCAUCUUCCUGAUGUGUUAGUGAUUAAGGUAUCUGUAAGUGACUGUAUGGGGCUAUAGCUCAGCUGGGAGAGCGCCUGCCUUGCACGCAGGAGGUCAGCGGUUCGAUCCCGCUUAGCUCCACCAUUACCGUACAGCCCCUAAAUAAUACUUCAGAGUGUAUUGGAAACAGUAUGCUGCGAAGUAUUUUGCUCUUUAACAAUCUGGAACAAGCUGAAAAUUGAAAGUUUACAGCUGAACAUCACUCUCCGUAGAAGUAUUGAGUGAUGGAUUAGUCUGUAACAGAGUCUCUCAAAUAAUCGCAGCGCGAUGUUGUCUUUAAGACACCUUCGGGUUGUGAGGUUAAGCGACUAAGCGUACACGGUGGAUGCCUUGGC
rnacentral:misc_RNA from 1 species